rnacentral:rRNA from 1 species
AUUGAACGCUGGCGGAAUGCUUUACACAUGCAAGUCGAACGGCAGCACGGACUUCGGUCUGGUGGCGAGUGGCGAACGGGUGAGUAAUGUAUCGGAACGUGCCCAGUCGUGGGGGAUAACGUAGUGGAAAUUACGCUAAUACCGCAUACGAUCUAUGGAUGAAAGCGGGGGAUCGCAAGACCGCGCGCGAUUGGAGCGGCCGAUAUCAGAUUAGGUAGUUGGUGGGGUAAAGGCCCACCAAGCCAACGAUCUGUAGCUGGUCUGAGAGGACGACCAGCCACACUGGAACUGAGACACGGUCCAGACUCCUACGGGAGGCAGCAGUGGGGAAUUUUGGACAAUGGGCGAAAGCCUGAUCCAGCCAUUCCGCGUGCAGGAUGAAGGCCCUCGGGUUGUAAACUGCUUUUGUACAGAACGAAAAGGUUUCUACUAAUACUAGGAGCUCAUGACGGUACUGUAAGAAUAAGCACCAGCUAACUACGUGCCAGCCGCCGCCGUAA